rnacentral:lncRNA from 1 species
UCUCCAUCUAAUUCCAAUAUGCAGAGAUUUUUUUUUGCAAGUAUGCUGUAUGACAGAAUGAGAGAGAGAGGGAGAGAGGGAGAGAGAGAAGAGGAUACUGGCCAAUGGAUGCUAAUUGCUAUAGAGUUAAUGUCAGAAGGUCAUGGGAUUCUACUCAUUACCUUUUUCCUUAUAGAGUUAAUGUCAGAAGGUCAUGGGAUUCUACUAAAUGCAACUAAGUAAAGACAUCAGCAUAGUCAAAAACAACCAACAGGGGAGAGAGAGAGCGUAAG